CAGAGUGUGGUGUAAUGUGGUAGCACAAGGGACUUUGAAUUCUUAUGGCUAGGUUCAAUUCCUAUAAUUCUAG
rnacentral:tRNA from 1 species